AAAAAAAAAAAAAGUUCCAAAUUAGUUCUAAAUUUAUGUGCUUCAUAUGCACAUUGCUGCCCAGCAGGUGCAUCUCUGUUUCCACAUGACGCUUCACACUCCAAGGAAGUCAGCUUUGAGUGAAGUGUCAUCCUUUGGUACGCGCGUGCUCGUUCAUCAGAAAUGAAGCGCUUGGAGGAGGCAUGUCAGUUCCCGUGCAUUCCUGCUGAAAGCAGAGCUGGGACUGUGAGACUACGCCAACCUUUCCCUUGUGUAAUGUCAAUGUCGGCUAUCACUUUGGCAGAAUCACCCAGCUCAGUGAAGACAGAAAACCCCUCCUUUCCUCCUGUUUUUUCAUCUGCUGGUGGCAUUCCAAGUGACCUUCCCUCAUAAAUAUUGGUGAGUGACCACAUGGGGAAAGCAGUUCCUUCGUGCAAAGAAA
rnacentral:lncRNA from 12 species